rnacentral:tRNA from 1 species
UCAAGAAAUAGUUUAAUUUAAAAUUUUAAUUUUGGAGAUUAAUGAUGAAUGAUAUUCUUUCUUG